rfam:Schistosoma mansoni strain Puerto Rico chromosome 6, complete genome
AGCCUUCUGUAUCCGUGCUGAGAUUUCGUCACACACUACACCACAAAGGUUGAUGAGACUCCCAAGUGAAGCG